CCUACGGGAGGCAGCAGUGGGGGAUAUUGCACAAUGGGGGAAACCUGGAGGCAGCGACGCCGCGGGUGGGAAGACGGUCUUCUGGAUUGUAAACCACUGUCCCAAGGGACGAAAAUGACGGUACCUGGGGAGGAAGCUCCGGCUAACUACGGGCCAGCAGCCGCGGUAAUACGUAGGGAGCAAGCGGUGUCCGGAAGUACUGGGUGUAAAGGGAGGGUAGGCGGGGAUGCAAGUUGGGUGUCAAAACUACCGGCUCAACCGAUAGUCGCACUCAAAACUGCAGCUCUUGAGUGAAGUAGAGGCAGGCGGAAUUCCUAGUGUAGCGGUGAAAUGCGUAGAUAUUAGGAGGAACACCAGUGGCGAAGGCGGCCUGCUGGGCUUUUACUGACGCUGAGGCUCGAAAGUGUGGGGAGCAAACAGGAUUAGAUACCCCUGUAGUC
rnacentral:rRNA from 1 species